rnacentral:rRNA from 1 species
CGUGUAUGAAGAAGGCCUUCGGGUUGUAAAGUACUUUCAGCGGGGAGGAAGGGUUGCUGGUUAAUAACCAGUGACAUUGACGUUACCCGCAGAAGAAGCACCGGCUAACUCCGUGCCAGCAGCCGCGGUAAUACGGAGGGUGCAAGCGUUAAUCGGAAUUACUGGGCGUAAAGCGCACGCAGGCGGUCUGUCAAGUCAGAUGUGAAAUCCCCGGGCUUAACCUGGGAACUGCAUUUGAAACUGGCAGACUGGAGUCUUGUAGAGGGGGGUAGAAUUCCAGGUGUAGCGGUGAAAUGCGUAGAGAUCUGGAGGAAUACCGGUGGCGAAGCGGGCCCCCUGGACAAAGACUGACGCUCAGGUGCGAAASSGUGGGGAGCAAACAGGAUUAGAUACCCUGGUAGUCCACGCUGUAAACGAUGUCGACUUGGAGGUUGUGCCCUUGAGGCGUGGCUUCCGGACUAACGCGUUAAGUCGACCGCCUGGGGAGUACGGCCGCAAGGUUAAAACUCAAAUGAAUUGACGGGGGCCCGCACAAGCGGUGGAGCAUGUGGUUUAAUUCGAUGCAACGCGAAGAACCUUACCUGGCCUUGACAUCCACGGAAUUGGGCAGAGAUGCCUGAGUGCUUCGGGAACCGUGAGACAGGUGCUGCAUGGCUGUCGUCAGCUCGUG